rnacentral:rRNA from 1 species
UCCAGGCGGGCACUUCACGCGUUAGCUUCGUUACUGAGUAAGCAAAUACCCAACAACCAGUUGACAUCGUUUAGGGCGUGGACUACCAGGGUAUCUAAUCCGUGUUUGCUCCCCACGCUUUCGUGCAUGAGCGUCAGUGCAGGCCCAGGGGAUUGCCUUCGCCAUCGGUGUUCCUCCGCAUAUCUACGCAUUUCACUGCUACACGCGGAAUUCCAUCCCCCUCUGCCGCACUCCAGCCUUGCAGUCACCAAUGCAGUUCCCAGGUUGAGCCCGGGGAUUUCACAUCGGUCUUACAAAACCGCCUGCGCACGCUUUACGCCCAGUAAUUCCGAUUAACGCUCGCACCCUACGUAUUACCGCGGCUGCUGGCACGUAGUUAGCCGGUGCUUAUUCUUACAGUACCGUCAUGAGCCCCAGGUAUUAACCAGAGCCUUUUCGUUCUGUACAAAAGCAGUUUACAACCCGAAGGCCUUCAUCCUGCACGCGGCAUUGCUGGAUCAGACUUGCGUCCAUUGUCCAAAAUUCCCCACUGCUGCCUCCCGUA